rnacentral:rRNA from 1 species
UACGUAAGGUGCGAGCGUUACUCGGAAUUACUGGGCGUAAAGCGUGCGCAGGCGGUUUUGUAAGUCAGAUGUGAAAUCCCCGGGCUCAACCUGGGAAUGGCAUUUGGGACUGCAAGGCUUGAGUGCGGCAGAGGAGACUGGAAUUCCUGGUGUAGCAGUGAAAUGCGUAGAUAUCAGGAGGAAUACCGAUGGCGAAGGCAGGUCUCUGGGCUGACACUGACGCUCAUGCACGAAAGCGUGGGGAGCAAACAGG